AUUGAACGCUGGCGGCAGGCCUAACACAUGCAAGUCGAGCGGAUGACGGGAGCUUGCUCCUUGAUUCAGCGGCGGACGGGUGAGUAAUGCCUAGGAAUCUGCCUGACAGUGGGGGACAACGUUUCGAAAGGAACGCUAAUACCGCAUACGUCCUACGGGAGAAAGCAGGGGACCUUCGGGCCUUGCGCUAUCAGAUGAGCCUAGGUCGGAUUAGCUAGUUGGUGGGGUAAUGGCUCACCAAGGCGACGAUCCGUAACUGGUCUGAGAGGAUGAUCAGUCACACUGGAACUGAGACACGGUCCAGACUGCUACGGGAGGCAGCAGUGGGGAAUAUUGGGCAAUGGGCGAAAGCCUGAUCCAGCCAUGCCGCGUGUGUGAAGAAGGUCUUCGGAUUGUAAAGCACUUUAAGUUGGGAGGAAGGGCAGUAAGUUAAUACCUUGCUGUUUUGACGUUACCGACAGAAUAAGCACCGGCUAACUCUGUGCCAGCAGCCGCCGCGGUAA
rnacentral:rRNA from 1 species